AACAAAAACAAAAACAAGCACAGGAAAAAGAAACAGAAACAGCAAAACAAUGCAGUGCCUGCAAAACAUAAUAAGGUGUUAAUUCUCUGGCAAUGCCAUAAAUGCAUAUAUAGUUUUCUCUCCCGACUCUUUUGCUCUUCCUGCUGUCUUGGCCAUGAUUAAAUACUAUCAAGGUGGCAGUGCAUGCAUGGCUAUUACAACAGCAGCAUUGUUUUCUAAAAUUGCCAAUGGAAUCUAAGCGUUGAGGUACGAAAUCAAGGACAAAAAUUGAAGGCUUUGCUGAAAGUCACAAAGGUACGUAAAAUAAAAUCAAUGCAACAUUUGCAGUGAUGUUCAUGGUACUACUUCCCUCUCUUCGAUGUUGGUGGCACAAGGGCUACACUUCUGCCAACAUUACUGCUCGGGAGCAAUGAAGACCACCCAACUCUGGAGAGUUCUUGCUAUACAUAUUGAUUAGUUUCAACAACCCAGUGUUCUUUCCAUAAAGAUUGCCUUAAAUAUUUCAUACGAGUAGUAGUAGUGAUUUUGGAGUACGUCAACCAUAAUGAUGAUUAUUGUCCCCCUGAGGAUUUGUUCAUAGGGAGGGUGAAAUAAGCGCAGCUGCAAUCCAGUAGGUACACUGUACACAGAACUCUUCAGUUGUUAUUUUGAA